rnacentral:rRNA from 1 species
CCUACGGGCGGCAGCAGUGGGGGAUAUUGGACAAUGGGGGGAACCCUGAUCCAGCGACGCCGCGUGAGUGAAGAAGUAUUUCGGUAUGUAAAGCUCUGUCAGCAGGGAAGAAAGAAAUGAUGGUACCUGAACAAGAAGCCCCGGCUAACUACGUGCCAGCAGCCGCGGUAAGACGGAGGGGGCAAGCGUUAUCCGGAAUUACUGGGUGGAAAGGGAGCGUAGACGGUUAAGUAAGUCUGGAGUGAACGGCCGGGGCCCAACCCCGGGACUGCUCUGGAAACUGUUGAACUUGAGUGCAGGGGAGGUAAGUGGAAUUCCUAGUGUAGCGGUGAAAUGCGUAGAUAUUAGGAGGAACACCAGUGGCGAAGGCGGCUUACUGGACUGUAACUGACGUUGAGGCUCGAAAGCGUGGGGAGCAAACAGGAUUAGAUACCCCUGUAGUC